UACAAUUCACCUCUGUCCCUUCGGCUGGAGCUGGCGAGGACGCUGGAGCUCCAGAGCCCACCGCCGCCGCUUCUGCGCCCUGACCUGUCCGGAGGGACGCUGCUGCAGCCCCUCCCACACCAGGACGGCGCGGAUGGUUUUCCGUUGCCCACGAAAACCGGCUCACCCUGCAGCAGGUGAUGAUGAUCGAGUCCUGCUCCUGCAGCAUCUCCAACUGCCGCCGAUCCACACCGUGAGCGGCACGUGCGUCCACCCUCAGGAGACCCACGCGGGGCCCGUCCUGGAGGAGAGGGACCAGGCUACACGCAGAUGAAUCAACGGCGUGAAGAGGUCACGGUGUGCAAGGUUGUUGUGUUGCAGGUGGUUUUCUACUGAAACGAGGGUGCUAACCGGUUAGCCAGGUUUGUCCCUAUCGACCUUUCUGAGAAAAAGAAAAACACUAUGUUUCAAUAGACCUUUUUGUAUUUGAAUGACUGAACGAUACUGUAACAGUGAACACACAGAUGCUUCAUGUGAACUGUGUUCGAAGAUUAGAAGCUGCAGUGUUGUUCUGAAAUCCUCUCAGAGGAUCAGCUGAUCGGCGUUUGUGUUUUCUUGCCGGGCUGUUGGUUUGUUUUUGGCUUCUUUUUAUAACUUACAUUGUAUCCAGCAAGUAUUAACCAAGAUAAAACGUUUGUUCGGCGUGUGGCUACGUCUUACACAGUACACCUCUAACGUUCAGCUGGUAUUAAAUGGAAUGUUUGGCAAAAAGAUUUGCUUUGUAAAUCACUCAUAAUUACAGAAGAAUAAUGAAUGAAUUGUGGAUUUCAUGACGGUAUCCUUCCGAUUGUGCAUUACGAGGUCGAUGCUGAUUGAUGCUUGUUUGAACGUAGACAGAUUGACACUGAACACAGGCAUCUAUGAAUCCAUCCAUUUCCCUCUACUUGCCCAGCAGAGUGACCCAGAUGUCCCUCGCCCCCGCAACAUCUGCCAGCUCCCUCUGGGGGAUCCCGAGGCGAUCCCAGGCCAGCUGAAAGACGUGAUCCCCCCAGCGGGUCCUGUAUGGCGGCCAAAAACGAGACUGCAAACAUGAUUUGAACAAUACCUCAUAGUAACUUAUUUUUGUUAUUUACUUCAACUUAUCAUGAUGAGUUAUAUAUAAUUACAACUUAAUUGAUUCCGGUCCGCCUACCCGGGUUUUUAAACCGUUCAACAAACUGUAAAUUUCAACAAGUUUAAUGAACUCAAUAGUGUCAGUUCAAUAGCUGUCUUUUAUAAGCGAUUCAAUUUCCAUUGGAUCCCCAUGUUAAAUUGUCACAAUCUACACAGAAAUACAAAUGCAUACAUUCUGCUAUAAAACAGGUUUAUUUUUUAACUGUGUAUUGCGUGACUUUUAAAUAAUUAAUUUAAACUAUAUUGAGGCUUGAAGUUGUGUAUAAUCGCAAACUGUCUGUUCAGCUGCAUCACAAACCAAUGUAAAUACCAGACGGCGAACUAACCUAAAGCACGCGGCGGAUUAACACGUUCUGAACAGCCGGAUCACAAACGUGACCUGGACCGCAUCACGCAGUACGUCGGCUCAGCGAACCAAGUGGCGGAUGAAUAUCGUUCAGCAGCGAGACGACGAACGCGAGUCGACCUUUGAAAACCGGCGCGACAGCUCGGAAAAGAAAGAGAGCCUGAGGGGAUCUCCUCCCGCUCCAUGCGGUCUAUCGGAGGGACGCUUUUUACGGCUACUUGUGCUGCACCAUCCCCGCCACCGGCCGUUGUAUCGGUGGGAGUACGCUCCAAACACUCCCCACGCAACUGGCGCCUUUUUGAAAACCCGUCUGUCCUUUUCUGCUCUCUGUGUGCAGGUGGCCGAGCACAAGACCCGGAUGUACCUGUGUACAAGUGUAACCCUCAAACCGAUCACUUGAUGGUUGCGAUGGAGGCCAGUCGCACACCUGCUACAGUGCACGCAGGGGGGACGCACGGGGGCGCCUGGCUGGAAACGGGUCCGCCCGGCCUUCACUGACCUCCGCACCGCUGUCGAGGGAGAUGCAAGCGGACAGCAACGUUCAUGUGCGUCGAUGUGAGCACGGCGGACCGUUUCUGCUCUCUGGUCCGUGAUCUGAAGCAGUUACGAGGCCGGCUGGACGCAGUCGUUGAUGACCUGGUCCCAAGAGCGCCAGAGGUCUACAAAGCAACAGCUGAUGAAAACAAUGACCUGAAUGAUGAACAUCAACAGAAUUCAAGUGGCCUGUUUCAUGAUAACACGUCUUCACCUUAAUUUGGAGUAACAGGACUUCUCAUCUCUGCUCGUUGAACUACUAUUUUCUAUUUUCUUGGAGCCAGAAGAGGGAAGCAGAGUCCAGCACAGAGGAGCUUCCCUGCUGGGAUCACAGUCCACGUGCGAAGCAGCAACCUCACACUGUCCUCAAUUCCUCUCAGUUAAUUCAUAUUAAAGAAGUUACCUUUAGUUAGCACGUCUUUUCGCGUCUGCGCCAUGUUGGGUCAGGAUUUAAAGUACAUCAUUGCAGAGAGACAUCGCUGGUUAAAAUGAGGAAUUAACAAGGAUUUGUGUCAGAUUCAUCAGAUCGAUCCCGGUUUGUGUUUGUACACGACAGAACCGCAAUGAGAAACGAGUUCCACGAGGUUCCCUGCUUGGUUUAAUUGUAUUCACCUUGUGUAUUCUUCCUUUAGGGCCUAAAGGAAGAGUAAAGAAUACAUACCAUCA